GACGAACGCUGGCGGCGUGCUUAACACAUGCAAGUCGAGCGGUAAGGCCUUUCGGGGUACACGAGCGGCGAACUGGUGAGUAACACGUGGGUGAUCUGCCCUGCACUUCGGGAUAAGCCUGGGAAUCUGGGUCUAAUACCGGAUAUGACCUCCUAUCGCAUGGUGGGUGGUGGAAAGAUUUAUCGGUGCAGGAUGGGCCCGCGGCCUAUCAGCUUGUUGGUGGGGUCAUGGCCUACCAAGGCGACGACGGGUAGCCGACCUGAGAGGGUGACCGGCCACACUGGGACUGAGACACGGCCCAGACUCCUACGGGAGGCAGCAGUGGGGAAUAUUGCACAAUGGGCGAAAGCCUGAUGCAGCGACGCCGCGUGAGGGAUGACGGCCUUCGGGUUGUAAACCUCUUUCAGCAGGGACGAAGCGCAAGUGACGGUACCUGCAGAAGAAGCACCGGCUAACUACGUG
rnacentral:rRNA from 1 species